AGGCCAGACUCCUACGGGAGGCAGCAGUGGGGAAUAUUGCACAAUGGGGGAAACCCUGAUGCAGCGACGCCGCGUGAGCGAUGAAGUAUUUCGGUAUGUAAAGCUCUAUCAGCAGGGAAGAAGAUGACGGUACCUGACUAAGAAGCCCCGGCUAACUACGUGCCAGCAGCCGCGGUAAUACGUAGGGGGCAAGCGUUAUCCGGAUUUACUGGGUGUAAAGGGAGCGUAGACGGCGAUGCAAGCCAGAUGUGAAAGCCCGGGGCUCAACCCCGGGACUGCAUUUGGAACUGUGUGGCUGGAGUGUCGGAGAGGCAGGCGGAAUUCCUAGUGUAGCGGUGAAAUGCGUAGAUAUUAGGAGGAACACCAGUGGCGAAGGCGGCCUGCUGGACCGCGACUGACGUUGAGGCUCGAAAGCGUGGGGAGCGAACAGGAUUAGAUACCCUAGUAA
rnacentral:rRNA from 1 species